rnacentral:lncRNA from 1 species
UCACAGAAGUUCAAGUCACAGAGUUUCCAAUGAUAUUUCCGACUUUAUAUAUAAUUUCUACGCAAUCAGCACUUGAAAUGAAGUGACCAUGUAACUUCAAAGUUCACAUUUGUUGCCACUAAUUACUGUGUCAUGUAAGUCGUGCUGUCAUGUCGCAAUUUCAAUGAACUUAUUCGUUUCUGUUCCUAAAGCUCCCCAAGAAGUUGGGCCUUGCCAAUCUCCUCUUUGACACAGAAAACAGGAGUUUCGAAAUUAUUUCACUUGGCAUGUCGGCCUCCUAUGGUGUAGUGGUUGUAGCGCUAACUCUAUGAUCGAGAGGUCCCGGGUUUGAUUCCCGGCCAGGCGACCCGAGUUUGAUGGUCUCAAAUAAUGGUCGCCGGGGACUGGCUUUAGGGAUGGAGGGGGGACGGGACUAAAGCGCAAGGAUUAGCCCUUGUGGGCUAUUUGAAAUAGUAAAAAAAAAGAUAGUUACAGUUUGCUCCUUUUUUCUCAUUUAUUGCCCAGAGACAUUGCCUAAAGUAACACAGUGUCAGGGCGACUGAGUGGUAUAAUUGAUACGUUUUGAAGGAUCGCAUAUUGCAUCUAUUAAACUGAUUAGGAGGAAGCAAGGUAAGCCAAUUAGAUGCAGGAGUUACACUUUUAUCUAUUUAUUUAUCCAAAUGCAUUUCGGCCCGUAGGCCAUCUUCAGUGGUACACAUAGGAUUAUAAAUUACAAGCGAGUACAUGCAGAUAGGAAUUAAAAUUUUUAUGGGUACUAACUUAUAUUUAGCGUAUAAUUGAGCCAAGGGCCCAGUUCAGUAAUGUCCAUUGUCCUGGUCUCUGAAUACUUAUCAAGAGACAUGCAAGGUUAUAGAUUAUUAUGAAGGCAUCUAAACUAACAAAUUCUUGAAUUUCAGGGUUUUCCUUUGUAAGCAGAAUAUCUCGUAAAAGAAGCAGGAAUGGAGUGGUGUCAGUUUUCACGAGACACUGGUUAGGCAGCUUUGUCUUUGGUGCCAUCGUUGCCACGUUAUUUUUCUAUGCUGUUUUUCUCAGCUAUAACUUGGAAUGGGCUUCAAAUAUUGACAGACACAGCAGAGAUGCUAGAUUGCAUGAGUUGGAAGAACAGCUGAAAGCUCUUCAAGAACAACUGGCACUACCAGAGCGCACUGCUUUGCCACUUUCAAAUGUUGCUUGCACUGGAAAACCCGUAUGUAUAACUUUUUUUGCUGCGAUUUGCAUUCUGUAAAGGAUGUUCAUGCAUGAUGAGCUGCCUCUCUUCUGUUGACAAGAUUCUUGUAUUCCUGAUUCUCUCCUUAAUUUUAUCUGCACUAGGGUUUAUUUACGGUCGAACUGUAAUUCAAUACACACUCAGCGAUUACAUAUGAUAUCUUAGCAAAAAUGAAAAACAAGUAGCAGGUACCAACACACUGUUACACGUUGUCAUAAAUAAAGAGUUGGACUAAAGUUGCUUAUUUCGGCACCAGUUGUUCUUUGAGUAGAAACAACAAACUACGCGGAAAAAUAAAAGGAACGAAAUUUUGAAGAUGAAAUUUAGAGUUGUAUUGACCGAAAGAGAGAGAAAGUUACAGAAUUACAAGAUUUAAAAUAGUCAUUAAAUGUGCCAAAAGGGCGAAAAAGGGCACUACGUACUAGUACGGGUCGAGGAUGGUAAAAGACCAAGAUUUUGGGGCAGCGCAAGCUUUUAUAGACUUGCUGACGUCACAGGUGGUGAGACAACAAGUCUACACGCUAUUGGCUGGCUAUAAUCAGUGGAGCUAUCAGUUGCAAGUCUGGUAAUUAAAGUAAUGGGUUAAUAUAGACGAUGUUUGAAAGAUAUGAGUAAAAAAGAGGAAAGUGGAUCGAAUCCAGCAUGUCCUAAUGAAUAUACAGAAAGUUAGGUAAAAUAUUGAAAAUACUAAGAGAAAAUACGAGUUGGUGUUGACACACGUGCUUGCUCCCAUUUUUUUCAACCAUAUAAUAAAUGUGUAACAAGGGGUGGUAGAACCGGGCAGAAAUGAAAAAUCCCAUGAAAAUUUGCAUGAAA